rnacentral:sRNA from 1 species
UGCAUUUGAAGCCCAUGAGGAUGAGAACCUCCGGGGGCGGGGAGGUUCGACUCGAGCGAAGCGAGAGAACGUUGCGCCAGCAACGGCCCGCAGGGCGAGCCACGAAGUGGCGAGUAAUCCUCUAUCACCGACC